UAGGGAAUCUUCCGCAAUGGACGCAAGUCUGACGGAGCAACGCCGCGUGAGUGAAGAAGGAUUUCGGUUCGUAAAACUCUGUUGUUAGAGAAGAACAGCGCAUAGAGUAACUGUUAUGCGUGUGACGGUAUCUAACCAGAAAGCCACGGCUAACUACGUGCCAGCAGCCGCGGUAAUACGUAGGUGGCAAGCGUUGUCCGGAUUUAGUGGGCGUAAAGCGAGCGCAGGCGGUCAAUUAAGUCUGAUGUGAAAGCCCCCGGCUCAACCGGGGAGGGUCAUUGGACACUGGUUGACUUGAGUGCAGAAGAGGAGAGUGGAAUUCCAUGUGUAGCGGUGAAAUGCGUAGAUAUAUGGAGGAACACCAGUGGCGAAGGCGACUCUCUGGUCUGUAACUGACGCUGAGGCUCGAAAGCGUGGGUAGCAAACAGG
rnacentral:rRNA from 1 species